CCUAAGGUAGCGAAAUUCCUUGUCGGGUAAGUUCCGACCUGCACGAAUGGCGUAAUGAUGGCCAGGCUGUCUCCACCCGAGACUCAGUGAAAUUGAACUCGCUGUGAAGAUGCAGUGUACCCGCGGCAAGACGGAAAGACCCCGUGAACCUUUACUAUAGCUUGACACUGAACAUUGAGCCUUGAUGUGUAGGAUAGGUGGGAGGCUUUGAAGUGUGGACGCCAGUCUGCAUGGAGCCAUCCUUGAAAUACCACCCUUUAAUGUUUGAUGUUCUAACUCGGCCCCGU
rnacentral:rRNA from 1 species